AAACCAACCGGGAUUGCCUUAGUAACGGCGAGUGAAGCGGCAAAAGCUCAAAUUUGAAAUCUGGUACCUUCGGUGCCCGAGUUGUAAUUUGGAGAGGGCAACUUUGGGGCCGUUCCUUGUCUAUGUUCCUUGGAACAGGACGUCAUAGAGGGUGAGAAUCCCGUGUGGCGAGGAGUGCGGUUCUUUGUAAAGCGCCUUCGAAGAGUCGAGUUGUUUGGGAAUGCAGCUCUAAGUGGGUGGUAAAUUCCAUCUAAAGCUAAAUAUUGGCGAGAGACCGAUAGCGAACAAGUACAGUGAUGGAAAGAUGAAAAGAACUUUGAAAAGAGAGUGAAAAAGUACGUGAAAUUGUUGAAAGGGAAGGGCAUUUGAUCAGACAUGGUGUUUUGUGCCCUCUGCUCCUUGUGGGUAGGGGAAUCUCGCAUUUCACUGGGCCAGCAUCAGUUUUGGUGGCAGGAUAAAUCCAUAGGAAUGUAGCUUGCCUCGGUAAGUAUUAUAGCCUGUGGGAAUACUGCCAGCUGGGACUGAGGACUGCGACGUAAGUCAAGGAUGCUGGCAUAAUGGUUAUAUGCCGCCCGUCUUG
rnacentral:rRNA from 1 species